rnacentral:rRNA from 1 species
GGGCCCGCACAAGCGGUGGAGCAUGUGGUUCAAUUCGACGCAACGCGAAGAACCUUACCUGGGCUCGAAAUGCAGUGGACCGGGGUGGAAACAUCCCUUCCCGCAAGGGCUGCUGUAUAGGUGCUGCAUGGCUGUCGUCAGCUCGUGUCGUGAGAUGUUGGGUUAAGUCCCGCAACGAGCGCAACCCUUAUUGCCAGUUGCCAUCAUUAAGUUGGGCACUCUGGCGAAACCGCCCCGGAUAACGGGGAGGAAGGUGGGGAUGACGUCAAGUCCUCAUGGCCUUUAUGUCCAGGGCUACACACGUGCUACAAUGGUCGGUACAAACCGUCGCAAACCCGCGAGGGGGAGCUAAUCGGAAAAAGCCGGCCUCAGUUCGGAUUGUAGUCUGCAACUCGACUACAUGAAGCUGGAAUCGCUAGUAAUCGCGGAUCAGAACGCCGCGGUGAAUACGUUCCCGGGCCUU